AACGAACGCUGGCGGCAGGCUUAACACAUGCAAGUCGAGCGCCCCGCAAGGGGAGCGGCAGACGGGUGAGUAACGCGUGGGAAUCUACCCAUCACUACGGAACAACUCCGGGAAACUGGAGCUAAUACCGUAUACGUCCUUAGGGAGAAAGAUUUAUCGGUGAUGGAUGAGCCCGCGUUGGAUUAGCUAGUUGGUGGGGUAAUGGCCCACCAAGGCGACGAUCCAUAGCUGGUCUGAGAGGAUGAUCAGCCACACUGGGACUGAGACACGGCCCAGACUCCUACGGGAGGCAGCAGUGGGGAAUAUUGGACAAUGGGCGCAAGCCUGAUCCAGCCAUGCCGCGUGAGUGAUGAAGGCCCUAGGGUUGUAAAGCUCUUUCACCGGUGAAGAUAAUGACGGUAACCGGAGAAGAAGCCCCGGCUAACUUCGUGCCAGCCGCCGCCGUAACAC
rnacentral:rRNA from 1 species